rnacentral:rRNA from 1 species
UACGGAGGAUGCAAGCGUUAUCCGGAUUUAUUGGGUUUAAAGGGUGCGUAGGCUGGGUAAUAAGUCAGUGGUGAAAACCUGCAGCUUAACUGUAGAAUUGCCAUUGAUACUGUUAUUCUUGAGUGCGAUUGAGGUAGGCGGAAUGUGUAAUGUAGCGGUGAAAUGCUUAGAUAUUACACAGAACACCGAUUGCGUAGGCAGCUUACUAAGUCGUAACUGACGCUGAGGCACGAAAGCGUGGGGAUCGAACAGG